UUAAUAUCCUUCUCCCUCAUAAUAAUGUCCCUCUUAAUAUCCUUCUCCCUCACAAUCAUGUCCCUCCGAAUGUCCUUCUCCCUCCUCACUCUCUUCCAGUCCCACCUCCCUGGCCAGGGCCUGAGGUCCCUCUGGCUCCCUCCCGGACCCCCAGCCUCUCUUCCCUCCCCUUCCCGCCUCCCGGGGCAGGGAGUUCCCCAGGCUUCCCCCGAGAGGAGACCCACCAGAGCCCGCCAGGCGAAGGCGAGGCCGCUCUGGGCGGAAGGGACGUCAGAGGGGAGGAGGGGGAGGAGCGUUCCGCCUUCCUUUCCUGUCCCCUCUAGGAAGCCAGCUCGGCGCCUCUUAACCCUUGGCGAGCCGGGCGCGCCCCGCUCAUCCUUCUCUCUCCCUGCCGAGGAGCCCGGGGCGUCGCGUAGGCGCACAGCUGCCCCUUCCGGGGGGGGGGGGUAGGGCAGGGAAGAAGCAGGACCCAGAACCCGGGACUGGGCGCGUGUGCGUGUGAAGUCUCUCUGGCUUGGCGCUUGCUGGUCAUUUUCUGACAGGAAUUUUUUCUCAUUUUAGUCAAAGAACUUCACUCCUUUAUUAAACUGGUUGUUCUGUGUCUCUGGGGCUUGAAGGGAUGUUUCAACAUGAGCAGGAGGAGGGCAGCGCCAUCCAUGUUGUGCAUUGGGCUUUUGUACAUCAGCCCAAGGGGAGGUUCCAGCGCUUGGUCCGGAGGCUGCGUAAUUGCAUCCGGAAGGAAGAUGAUCCAUGCAACUUCCUGCGCUGCAGGCCAGCCUCCUCUAGGCGUGGGUUGAAGCUGCGGCGUCCAUUUCUUU